UUCGACUAAACACAGGGGGCGACCAGGAAGUUCCCCUUCAAACCCUAACUCUUACAAAACUCACAAAUUGAAGGCUCAAAUCAAGUCCAAAUCGAAAUCUGAAUAUAGAUUAGUGAUCACCUCGGCGAAGGGAUCAUAAGGCAAGGAAACCGGGACGCCAAGCGGACAAGCUAGUGGCGAUAUGCAUUUGAAAGGAUUGCUCUAAAGGUACGUGACUUUGGUCCCGUUACAUUACGUAUAAACGUUUGGUUUUAGCUUGUUAAUGGUAAUGCUCGUUUCGUUAUGGAUGUUGAUCAAGCAAGGAAAUCAAGAACAGAACACAAGUUUUGAAUGCUUCCGCGAUAAUCUAAUCUAGUUCAAACCAUGUUGUUUUGUAAACACUUCUAAACGUUGAAUAUUUUAAUCUAGUUAGUUGACUAUAUU
rnacentral:lncRNA from 1 species